UUAACUGGAUUAUAGUGUAAUGGGGAGGGCAUUAGGACCCAGGAGGUCGGUGGUCAGCUGCCCUCUCCCAUCGGAGAGUAGUUCCGGGGUUGCCAGGAACUGUAUAAAGGGCCCGGGGAAUGAUGCGUUUCCGUGUUUGACGUCACCGGCAGUGUUGUCACCAAAGGCAGCCCCACGGAGGAGAACAGCUGAAUGCAGGUAGCGCGGGAAGCCGCUCUCUUUUUAAAGUUUGAUUACGGCCGCGUGUUGACAUUCUAUCUGUACAGGGCCACCGUCAAGUCGACCUUGCCAUUUGUGUGUGCCCCCCGCCUUCGUCAUAAGCGUGCCACAAAGGCAGCGUAUGUGGAGCUUCCACACAGAUUUGGUUGGGAGAUUUGUCACCAUUGGAGAACCCACAGAUGUCCACACGAUUGAACAGAGGAAGGGAUUUUUAAAUGUGAGUUAGAUCAGCUUUCCAAAUGUUUGUAUCGUUUGGUUCCUCACUGUGUUCUUAAAAUCUCUCUUGUUGUUUUUAGGAU